GUGUCAGCAGCCGCGGUAAUACGGAGGGGGCUAGCGUUGUUCGGAAUUACUGGGCGUAAAGGGCGCGUAGGCGGGACGUCAAGUCAGGGGUGAAAGGCCUGGGCUCAACCUGGGAACGGCCCUUGAAACUGGCGACCUUGAGUCCGGGAGAGGAGAGCGGAAUUCCCAGUGUAGAGGUGAAAUUCGUAGAUAUUGGGAAGAACACCGGUGGCGAAGGCGGCUCUCUGGCCCGGGACUGACGCUGAGGCGCGAAAGCGUGGGGAGCAAACAGGAUUAGAUACCCUGGUAGUCCACGCCGUAAACGAUGUGCGCUAGCCGUUGGGCGACCUAGUCGUUCAGUGGCGCAGCUAACGCAUUAAGCGCACCGCCUGGGGAGUACGGCCGCAAGGUUAAAACUUAAAGGAAUUGACGGGG
rnacentral:rRNA from 1 species